rnacentral:rRNA from 1 species
AGAGUUUGAUUCUGGCUCAGAACGAACGCUGGCAGCGUGGAUUAGGCAUGCAAGUCGAACGGGAUCCCUUGGAUUCAAUUCUUCGGAAAAGUUUCCUUGGGUGAGAGUGGCGAAAGGGUGAGUUACGCGUGGGCAACCUGCCCCCUAGUUGGGGACAACCAGCCGAAAGGCUGGCUAAUACCGAAUACGGUCCUUCAGCGCAUGUUGAGGUGACUAAAGGUGGGGAUCUUCGGACCUGCCGCUUGGGGAGGGGCCCGCGUGCCAUCAGCUUGUUGGUAGGGUAAUGGCCUACCAAGGCUUACGGCUAGCUGGUCUGAGAGGAUGAUCAGCCACACUGGGACUGAGACACUGCCCAGACUCCUACGGGAGGCUGCAGUCGAGGAUCAUUCGCAAUGCGCGAAAGCGUGACGAUGCGACGCUGCGUGGAGAAUGAUGGCCUUCGGGUCGUAAACUCCUGUCAUAAGGGAACAGCCGUUCCGGGGUGAAUAACCUCGGAGCCCGAUAGUACCUUAAGAGGAAGCCACGGCUAACUCUGUGCCAGCAGCCGCGGUAAUACAGAGGUGGCGAGCGUUGUUCGGAUUUACUGGGCGUAAAGCGUGCGUAGGUGGUAAUGUGUGUCGGAUGUGAAAUCCCGUGGCCCAACUGCGGAACUGCGUCCGAAACUGCAUAACUUGAGUGCAGGAUGGGAGAGCGGAAUUCUUGGUGUAGCGGUGAAAUGCGUUGAUAUCAAGAAGAACACCGGUGGCGAAGGCGGCUCUCUGGAAUGUUACUGACACUGAGGCACGAAAGCUGGGGGAGCAAACAGGAUUAGAUACCCUGGUAGUCCCAGCUGUAAACGGUGCGCACUUGGUGUAGGGGGUAUUGACCCCCCCCUGUGCCGGAGCUAACGCGUUAAGUGCGCCGCCUGGGGAGUACGGUCGCAAGAUUAAAACUCAAAGAAAUUGACGGGGGCCCGCACAAGCGGAGGAGCAUGUGGCUUAAUUCGAUGCAACGCGAAGAACCUUACCAGGGCUUGACAUGGGGACCCUUCGGGGGUGGUAGCGAAAGCUACCUUUACCAUCACAGGUGCUGCAUGGCUGUCGUCAGUUCGUGCCGUGAGGUGUUGGGUUAAGUCCCGCAACGAACGCAACCCCUGUGGUUAGUUGCCACCGCCGGUGAUAAGCCGGCGAGCACUCUAGCCAGACUGCCCGUACAAGCGGGAGGAAGGUGGGGAUGACGUCAAGUCAGUAUGGCCCUUACGCCCUGGGCUGCACACGUGCUACAAUGGUCGGUACAGAGGGACGCAAUGUCGCGAGGCGGAGCAAAUCCCCAAAGCCGGCCUCAGUUCGGAUUGGGGUCUGCAACUCGACUCCAUGAAGUUGGAUUCGCUAGUAACGGCGUAUCAGCUGCGGCGCCGUGAAUACGUUCCCGGGCCUUGUACACACCGCCCGUCACAUCAUGAAAGCCGUCUGCACCCGAAGUCGCUGAGCUAACCAAUUUGUUGGAGGCAGGUGCCGAAGGUGUGGGUGGUGAUUGGGAUGAAGUCGGAACAAGGUA